rnacentral:rRNA from 1 species
CCUGAUCCCAUCCCGAACUCAGAAGUGAAACGACGCAUCGCCGAUGGUAGUGUGGGGUCUCCCCAUGUGAGAGUAGGUCAUCGUCAAGC